GAGGCGGCAGAACAGUGGGCCAGGUGGAGCGGUCCAUAGAAAUCGACGGUGACGGGGUCCGGCCUAUAAAGGGCGCUCCGCAGUUGCCCCCUCGCCAUUUUGCCCACGGGUAGAUAUGACAGCUACAUUUGGAUGAGUGACAAUUAUAAACGGACCGGAGCGGAGGGUGACCAGUUUGCAUCAAACGGAUCUUCCUGUUGGUUCGGUAGCAAAGAAAUUGAUAACUCACUCCUUGGGAUGCACAAGAGUCAAUUCAUUCAAAUGUUAUCGUGCUGCUGUUCCCCAAGAAACCGACAGUCAAUAAGUACUCCUAAGGAAAAAGAGAAGGAUAUGAAAGGCCUUCAGAAGUCUCUUAAAAUACCAAAGCAGAAAUUCAAUCAGGUAGAAGACAUGAUAGGUCCAAGUGGAAGUGCAUCAGUAGCAACAAAUUUACUCUUAAUCCUUUUAAGAUGAAAGUAAAUCUGAUACCUCUAAAUUGGAAGGACCAUUAAUACUCAAUGAGUCUAAAAUAAAACAUUCAACGAGACAAAAUCAGAUUCAACAAGAACAUAAUUUGUUUAGUGAGACUGAAAACAAAAGAAAUCUCUGCUGAGAUUUUAAAAUUAAAUAAAUGGCACAAAUAAUAUUAGUAAAAGAACAUUAAGAUCCAG
rnacentral:lncRNA from 1 species